AGCAGGGCAGUUUUGGGUCUGCAUCAGACAGCUGCUUUAUGAUUUAAGGAUUCCAGGCUGGGGCUCCCUGAGGGCACCACUGUGAGAUGUGGUGCUGAAAUCUCUGCAAGACAGGGAAGAAAUCUGUGAGCCCUCAACAAGCUACAAAGUACUAUUGACACCCCUGAAGGCAAAACCACAGACAUAAAGGAAAGGGGCUGACCCUCCUCAUAGGGAACCUGAAGAUCUGUUGAUGGAGUCCUGCAAUGAGGGUUGAAGUACUCUGCAUUAUAUUAUUAUAGCCCGUGUAUGCCCUGGAAGGGGUGGACUCCUAAUUUGACUGGAGUGCUAAAGCGCCAGAUCAUCUAAUGAAAGAAAUUAAUCAGCUGUGCAUCUUAACAAGGAGGACUCUGUGCGAGUGGGGAAGUAUUGCCUCUCGGGCACCCAGGAGUGGUGUGUAAAUUUCCCAGGCGCAGCUGACCAGCAGAACAGACACCAGAAGCAUGACGAGCUGACAGGGAUCGGGUCCAAACGACAACGAAUCCAAACGAUACGACACGAGCGUGCUUUACCAGGAGGAGACCCUGGCCGACAGGUUGAUCAGGUCCUUCAGCUAACACGCGGAUGCUCCACACCCAAUUUUGGGGGGAAACCUAGUUUUAUUAAGAGGUCUCACUCCCUCGUGUCAGUAUCCGAUUGGCUCCCUGGUCCCUCCUCCCUCCAGGCUUCGAGCUGUUGCCACCCCACGUUAGCAGGAUUUGCACACGGCACACUGGAGUUGACAAGUAAACAAGCUUGAC